rnacentral:tRNA from 1 species
GGCUGGUUAGCUCAGUCAGUUGAGCGUGGCGCUAACAAGGCCAAGGUCAUAGGAUUGAUUCCCAUUCAGUCC